CAAUACAAUCAAGGUGGAUCUCAGGGAAAGAGAUACUGACAAAAACGAAAAACAGAACUUCAAGGUGGAUCUCACCAAUGGAUGGUUGAGACUAAGGAUCAGAUCUUUGUCAAUACAAUCAAUCAAAAUCAUCAAAUUUCCUGAUCAUGAAUCAGAUGGCUUGGAUUGUUUGGCGAAAGUGAUUUUGGGAUGUGCAAGCAAUCAAAGAUGAGGCCUACAUGAUAGAAAAAUCCAUAUCAAUGAUCAUACCUCUUCAAAUAUGAUUAACAAGUAAUUUCCAGCCCUGAAUCUCCAAUGGAAGUAUAUCUUGAAAGUUGAGAGCCAUGGGAAAAGGUGCCAUUUGUUACUAUCUUGUGCUGCAUGCAGACUUACAUGUUUGGGUAUGAUAGUGUCCAUGGGCAAUAGAAGAUCAUGAGCUCAAGGUGAAGGACUCCAAGACCCUUCUCUUUGGUGAGAAACCAGUUACUGUAUGUGGUGUCAGGAACCCUGAAGAGAUUCCAUGGGCUGAGAAUGGCGCUGCAUUAUGUUGUGUAGUGAACUAGAGUGUUUACUGACAAGGACAAGGCUGCUGCCCAUUUGAAGGUUUUCUAAUUUCUAUUAACUCAUUUUUCCUUCGUUCAAGAUAAAAGAAAAUAGAUUUUUUAGUUGAUAUUGAUGACUUGUACAGGAGUAUGUUUGUUUGUAGUGUUUGAUUUGAUUGGAAUUCAUUUGGUGGCCUGAUAGCUAGAAGUGGUUUAUCAUGUUUCAUAACUGUUUCAUUUGGUGCCAGUGCUGGUUUGUGCCAUUUUUAUCUCCUUUUUUCCUUUUUUGAUGUUUCUUUUCCUCAAAAUCUAUAUUGCUGUUCCAGCUUUUCUGAAUUGGAUAUUUUAUAUGAUUAUUGGUCUUGUUGCUAAUGACAUGCAAGCAACAAUUAUGGAACCAGCAGAUAGCCCCUUUGCAGGUGGUGUAUUUCUUGUAACCAUUCACUUCCCACCAGAUUACCCCUUCAAGCCACCCAAGGUAAAUCUCACAUUCUCUUGAGACAGGGCAAUGAAAUAUCUUUUUAAAGAGCCUGAGUGGGAAUGAAUGAUUUGUGAGUCAUAACAAACUGCUUGAGUAAUGUUCAAAAUCCUGGUCACAAUUGAAAAUUGGUCAAUGACUUGGCCAUGUCAAUGAAAAGGUUGCUGACUGUAGCAACUGACUUGCAUACCUUUAUGAGGUGUGGCAAGUAGCUGAAAUUUAAAAUGAAUUGUAAGAAACUAUGGAUCAAUGUUUAGGUUAUAAGGAAGUGUUCUGUAGCUGAAAUUUAAAAUACAUUGUAAGAAACUAUGGAUCAAUGUUUGGGUUAUAGGGAAGUGUUCUGUAGCUGAAAUUUAAAAUGCAUUGUAAGAAACUAUGGAUCAAUGUUUGGGUUACAAAGAAGCGUCCUGUAGCAGACAUAAGAGAGCAUCAUGUGACAAUUACCGCUGUUUUAUGCAGUGCACACAUUUAGAAAGGAUACAAUUCUUAUGCAGUGCAUGGGAUGUACGUAGGAAUGUUUAUGUAUGUUCUAGAUCACUGAUGACAGUGAGUAUUGUCUUCCUUUUUUUGGUGGUGAUUGUAGAGUGAAUAUCUCACUUUCCUAUACUUGCCUAUUUAGAUGUGGACCAAGGAAGAGACAGAUCAGUUAUUUGACUUGUGUGAAUGGUUCGAUCUACGUUUUAUAGUGAUAGCUGAUAGGUUUUCAUCCUCUCAAAGCAUGGAGGAAUUGAAGAGUCGUUAUUAUGUAGAUUGUGGUUUAACCAGUUUUCUCGGGUUGCUUCUAACAAGCAGUGUUCCUUCUUUGGAAAUGUAUCUCUCAGAACCAGCAUUUCACUUUUUGAGCUUUGGGAUAUCUGUGAUGUGGUGGUGCUUGCUUAUGGUGUAGAAAGUGACAGAGUUCUUGGAAUUCCUGGGGAAGUAUGUUUCCAACAAUCAGAAACAUCUGCCUAGUAUCCCAUGUAAAAACACAACAUUGUUUUCUACUACCAAUGAUAUAAUUAGCUCAUUUCGUUGUUUGAAACCUCAUCAAGUAGAUGCAAAGAUCAGCUGAGUUUGCUCAACUUCAUCAGGAAUGAAGUUGAGUUUUUUUACAACUCAAUUUCUACUCUUUUUCCUUUUUCUUUAUAUUUUCUUCUUCUUUUCCGAAUGGUUUUGACUCAAGAAGGCCCGAGAUUUUCUUGAAAUAAAUGAAAACUCCAAAAACCUCGGUAGAGUUAACUCUUGAUUGAGACUGUGUCGACUCAAGUCGAAAGCAGACUCAUCUCUCAAGUUUCUAAACCUUUUGUUUUUUUUUUUUCCUUCUAAACUUUGCUUCAUGUUACGGCAUGCAAGUGUUAGUGUCAUGUUCAAUUGCAGUUGAAUAUG